rnacentral:misc_RNA from 1 species
UUUCCGUAGGUGAACCUGCGGAAGGAUCAUUACUGAGUGAGGGCCCUCUGGGUCCAACCUCCCACCCGUGUUUAUUAUACCUUGUUGCUUCGGUGAGCCCGCCUCACGGCCGCCGGGGGGCAUCUGCCCCCGGGCCCGCGCCCACCGAAGAUACCUAGAACUCUGUAUGAAGAUUGCAGUCUGAGCAAAAACUAAAUAAGUUAAAACUUUCAACAACGGAUCUCUUGGUUCCG